AAUAUUGGACAAUGGGCGCAAGCCUGAUCCAGCAAUGCCGCGUGUGUGAAGAAGGCCUUCGGGUUGUAAAGCACUUUCAGUAGGGAAGAAAAGCAUGGCUUUAAUACAGCCCUGUGCUGACGUUACCUACAGAAGAAGCACCGGCUAACUCCGUGCCAGCAGCCGCGGUAAUACGGAGGGUGCGAGCGUUAAUCGGAAUUACUGGGCGUAAAGGGCGCGUAGGCGGUUCGAUAAGUCAGAUGUGAAAGCCCAGGGCUUAACCUUGGAAUUGCAUUUGAUACUGUCGGGCUUGAGUGUGGUAGAGGAAAGCGGAAUUCCGGGUGUAGCGGUGAAAUGCGUAGAUAUCCGGAGGAACAUCAGUGGCGAAGGCGGCUUUCUGGACCAACACUGACGCUGAGGCGCGAAAGCGUGGGGAGCAAACAGGAUUAGAUACCCUGGUAGUCCACGCCCUA
rnacentral:rRNA from 1 species